GGGAAACGCCCGGUCCCAUUCCGAACCCGGAAGCUAAGCCUGCCCGCGCUGAUGGUACUGCACUCGGGAGGGUGUGGGAGAGUAAGUUACCGCCGACA
rnacentral:rRNA from 1 species